CCUACGGGAGGCUGCAGUGGGGAAUCUUGCACAAUGGGGGAAACCCUGAUGCAGCGACGCCGCGUGAGUGAAGAAGUAUUUCGGUACGUAAAGCUCUAUCAGCAGGGAAGAAAAUGACGGUACCUGACUAAGAAGCCCCGGCUAACUACGUGCCAGCAGCCGCGGUAAUACGUAGGGGGCAAGCGUUAUCCGGAUUUACUGGGUGUAAAGGGAGCGUAGACGGCAGCGCAAGUCUGGAGUGAAAUCCCAUGGCUUAACCAUGGAACUGCUUUGGAAACUGUGCAGCUAGAGUGCAGGAGAGGUAAGCGGAAUUCCUAGUGUAGCGGUGAAAUGCGUAGAUAUUAGGAGGAACACCAGUGGCGAAGGCGGCUUACUGGACUGUAACUGACGUUGAGGCUCGAAAGCGUGGGGAGCAAACAGGAUUAGAUACCCCAGUAGUC
rnacentral:rRNA from 1 species